GCUACCUAGGAAGGAAAUGAAACGUGGCAUGAAGUAGUUGUGUCCUUAUUUCUCUGCAUUUUCCUCCUAUAUAAUACUAAUCUCAAAGCCAUUUCUCAAAACCUACACUAUUAUUUCUCUCUCAUAUUCCAUUGAAUCACAAAUGGGAAAUUGCAUAAGGCACCAAUCUUCAACUUCAGAAGUUGAUGGUUCUUCAUCACCAACCAAUCAUAAAACAACAACAACAGAGGUGAAGAUAAAGAUAACAAAGAAACAAUUGGAGGAGUUACUUGUUAAAAUGGACAUGAAGGAGUUAAGGGUAGAACAAGUUUUAGAUCACUUAAUGGAGAUUGCACAUAAUAGUGAAUAUAACUCACUUCACCAACCAUGGAAGCCUGCACUACAAAGCAUUCCAGAGGUUAAUUAAUUAACUGAGAUUUUUAUUUAUAGGUAGAUUUUGUGGAAUUGCAUUGUAUUGGUCUCAUGGGUCAAUCAUGCUUCUUCAAUUCCUUUCAUAUGUAUUGUGUUCAUCUUUAUUUAUUUCUCUUAAUUUUCUCCUUUUCACCCUCUCAAAUAUCUCAACUUGUUAUAAAUAUUUUUUGGUUUUUUAAUAAUGGGGUAAUAUCAAACCAAAUUCAUGUAAAUAGAUUUGUUUAGAUCGAUUAGAUUGUUAUUAUCCUAAAAUCAAAUCUAAAAAUAAUAUAUAAAUAAAUUUGUUUAGAUUUUAGGAACGAUUUUUGUGUAUAUAAUUAAUAGGUGACACUUAUAUCAAUCCAUCCUUUUUCUAUUGAGGCUGGUUGGCAGUCACUUUCAACCAUCAACUUGAAUGGUUGGGAAUGGUUUUGACAAUUUGCUCCUUGGGGAAUUUAACUUUUACAAUAUUUGCAUACAAUUUUUAGUUUAUCAGUUUCUUUAAUAUUUGGAAAAAAAUUAUGUUGGUUGUGGAAG
rnacentral:lncRNA from 1 species